rnacentral:rRNA from 1 species
UACGUAGGGUGCAAGCGUUGUCCGGAAUUAUUGGGCGUAAAGAGCGUGUAGGCGGCCCGAUUAGUCCGCUGUGAAAGUCCAGGGCUCAACCCUGGAAUGCCGGUGGAUACUGUCGGGCUAGAGUCCGGAAGGGGCGAGUGGAAUUCCUGGUGUAGCGGUGAAAUGCGCAGAUAUCGUCUGGAACGCCGAAGGUGAAAACAGCUCGCUGGGGCUGCGCUGACGCUGAGACACGAAAGCCAGGGGAGCGAACGGG